rnacentral:SRP_RNA from 1 species
GCUGGGAGUCGUGGCGUGCUCCUGUAAUCCAGCUACUUGGAGGCCGGGUGCAGCGGAUGUUUAAUCUUAAACAGACCUGUUUCCUA